CCUACGGGAGGCAGCAGUGAGGAAUAUUGGUCAAUGGACGAGAGUCUGAACCAGCCAAGUAGCGUUAAGGAUGACUGCCCUAUGGGUUGUAAACUUCUUUUAUAUGGGAAUAAAAUGUUCCACGUGUGGGAUUUUGUAUGUACCAUAUGAAUAAGGAUCGGCUAACUCCGUGCCAGCAGCCGCGGUAAUACGGAGGAUCCGAGCGUUAUCCGGAUUUAUUGGGUUUAAAGGGAGCGUAGGUUGAUUGUUAAGUCAGUUGUGAAAGUUUGCGGCUCAACCGUAAAAUUGCAGUUGAAACUGGCAGUCUUGAGUACAGUAGAGGUGGGCGGAAUUCGUGGUGUAGCGGUGAAAUGCUUAGAUAUCACGAAGAACUCCGAUUGCGAAGGCAGUUCACUGGACUGCAACUGACACUGAGGCUCGAAAGUGUGGGUAUCAAACAGGAUUAGAUACCCGGGUAGUC
rnacentral:rRNA from 1 species